UGCCAUCCGCCGCGGUAAUACGGAGGGUGCAAGCGUUGUUCGGAAUUAUUGGGCGUAAAGCGCGUGUAGGCGGUUCGUUAAGUCUGAUGUGAAAGCCCGGGGCUUAACCUGGGAACUGCAUUCGAUACUGCAGAACUAGAGUAUGGUAGAGGGAAGUGGAAUUUCCGGUGUAGCGGUGAAAUGCGUAGAUAUCCGGAGGAGCAUCAGUGGCGAAGGCGACUUGCUGGUCUAAUACUGACGCUGAGGAGCGAAAGCGUGGGGAGCAAACGGGAUUAGAUA
rnacentral:rRNA from 1 species